UUUUUCCAUGAAUCUAGAUUUUUUCUGAAAUUUCUCCACCAUUCAAUUUCUUUUUCGGUACAUUGUUUAAAAUUGUACCUGUACAGUUUUCACAAAUCGAGCUCGCCAUGGACCCCAGCAAUGGUUCCCGCAAGUGUGUUAAAUGCGGAACAACACGUAAUCAAGACAAUACAAUUACUACACACCGUUUCCCUCUCCCGGGAACAAAUAAUAUUUUAAAGGCAAUGGCGUGGGCUACAUAUUGCUGGCCGGAUAAAGACUGGUCUAGCAUAAAGACUCUGACAUCACUCUAUUAUAAGAACAAAGUGCUAUGUAGCAAACAUUUUAGAGAUGAUAUGUAUAUUGACAAUGCCAAGAAACGCCUCUCCAAACAUGCAGUACCGGGAACUAAGGAAUAUGUAGCCAAUAUAUUGCAGUCAUUGAAGGCCAAAAUAUCAGUAGAUACAAUAGUACAACAGGUCAAGUUGUCACUUCAACAUCCUGCGGCAGGUUGUACGACAAAUCUCCGCUAUUGUAAGUAUUUAUUAUUUUUAUGCCACUAUUAAAUAGUGCAUUUACACGAAUUUAACACAUUCACUGCUGUGUUAUGCUCGUAGCCGAUCCCAGCAUUUUUCCGCUAUGUAGAGGAAGGCAAUUCAAUGUGUUGAAUUACAACAAAUCAGCAAUUGCAUUUAGCAGUUUACAGAUAUAAAAAAAUACCGUGAUAAUCUCGCC